rnacentral:rRNA from 1 species
AACGAACGCUGGCGGCAUGCCUAACACAUGCAAGUCGAACGAGACCUCCGGGUCUAGUGGCGCACGGGUGCGUAACGCGUGGGAACCUGCCCGUAGGUUCGGAAUAACUCUCCGACAGGGGUGCUAAUACCGGAUAAUGUCUUCGGACAAAAGAUAUAUCGCCUUUGGAUGGGCCCGCGUUGGAUUAGCUAGUUGGUAGGGUAAAAGCCUACCAAGGCGACGAUCCAUAGCUGGUCUGAGAGGAAGAUCAGCCACACUGGGACGCGGACGCGGCCCAGACUCCUGCGGGAGGCAGGAGAGGGGAAUAUUGGACAAUGGGCGAAAGCCUGAUCCAGCACUGCCGCGUGAGUGAUGAAGUCCUUAGAGUAGUAAAGCUCUUUUACCCGGGAUGAUAAUGACAGUACCGGGAGAAUAAGCACCGGCUAACUCCGUG